CUUGCGGCAAUAUCACGUUGAAACACCGGUUCUCGUACGAUCACCGAAGUUAAUCCACGUCAAGCCUAGUCAGUACGUAGAUGGGUAACCGCU